CUGCAAGGUGCUAUCCCCGGGCUUGUCGGAUUUGUACCAUUGAGGAAGGAAGGCCCCAAUGCUUGUGCUAGAAUCUAGCAUGCCAUUAAGUGUCGCAGGCUUAGAAAAAUCUUGUGAUAGGUCUGUGUCAAAGCAAUGGAUACAAAU
rnacentral:snoRNA from 2 species